rnacentral:rRNA from 1 species
UACGUAGGGUGCGAGCGUUGUCCGGAAUUAUUGGGCGUAAAGAGCUCGUAGGCGGUUUGUCGCGUCGGCCGUGAAAACUUGGGGCUUAACCCCAAGCCUGCGGUCGAUACGGGCAGACUUGAGUUCGGCAGGGGAGACUGGAAUUCCUGGUGUAGCGGUGGAAUGCGCAGAUAUCAGGAGGAACACCGGUGGCGAAGGCGGGUCUCUGGGCAGUAACUGACGCUGAGGAGCGAAAGCGUGGGGAGCGAACAGG